rnacentral:rRNA from 1 species
UACGAAGGGGGUUAGCGUUGUUCGGAAUCACUGGGCGUAAAGGGCGCGUAGGCGGCUGUUCAAGUCGGGGGUGAAAUCCCGUGGCUCAACCACGGAAUGGCCUUCGAUACUGGACGGCUGGAGACCGGAAGAGGUGAGUGGAACUGCGAGUGUAGAGGUGAAAUUCGUAGAUAUUCGCAAGAACACCAGUGGCGAAGGCGGCUCACUGGUCCGGUUCUGACGCUGAGGCGCGAAAGCGUGGGGAGCAAACAGG